GUGUGUCUUCUUCACUGAAUUCCCAAUCGUGUAAAGAUCAAAUGGUUUCAAGGACCUGAUAUCAAUAACCUCAGGGUCAUACCCCUUGUUCACCAAUGUUUUGGCAGCCUGCAUCACAUGAUACCUCAUCCUAGAAUAGGUUAAAAUGGUGACAUGUUCCCCAGGUCUUACCAUCUCUGCUUCCUCGAGUGAUAACACAUACUCUUCAUCUGGAAUCCUCUCCUUGAGAUUGUAAAGCAAAACAUGCUCAAAAAGGAUCACCGGGUUUUCACUCCGGAUUGCAGCUUUCAUCAAGCCCUUGGCAUUGUAAGGGGUUGAGCAUGCCACCAUUUGGAUUCCAGGUAUUGAUUGGAAAUAUGAUUCAAGGCGUUGUGAGUGUUCAGCCCCAAGCUGCCGACCAACUCCACCAGGUCCUCUGAUAACCACUGGUAUUUUGAACUGGCCACCAGAUGUAUAGUGGAGCAUGCCACAGUUGUUGGAGAUCUGGUUGAAAGCUAAAAGGAGAAAUCCCAUG
rnacentral:lncRNA from 1 species